rnacentral:misc_RNA from 1 species
GAAGUGCGAUAAGCAAUGCGAAUUGCAGGAUUCCGCGAAUCAUCAGAUCUUUGAACGCAAAUGGCGCCUGAGGGAUAUCCUUCUGGCAUGUCUGUUUCAGUGUCUGAGAGGUUUCAUAAUAAUCUUAAUGUGAUUGAAUUCAGCUUUGUAUUUUAUACAAAGCUGCUCUUUUCUCUCAUGAAAGAUGCGUGAGGGGAUCUUUCGGUCCAAUGAAGCGGUCACAUCACUCGUAUGUGAUUUCAUUGGAAGCACCGAAUUAUCAUUUAUAACUCAUGGUACCAUAAUACCAAUUAUUAUUAGAUGUUUUAUGCAUCCAAUAAUAAUACUCUCUAUACCCUGCAUCUGAGAUAGGCAAGAUCACCCGCUGAACUUAA